CACCUAAGACAAGGAGAAAGGAAAGAAUGUAACAAGAAAGAAUUAAUCCCGUGGUAUUUAAUCUAGACAUCACCUCUCUACUUUUCUUGGAGGAGUCCUUUCUCCUUUUGCCAGACAGCGCUUUUCUCUGAAAUGUCCUUUUCCCCUUCACUGCUCUCUCAUAUUUUCAUUUUGGCAGCUCCUGGUACCGUUUCAGUUUCCUUUUAUCUCAUUCAUUCCUACUUCAUUCUUGUCCCCUCUUUACUCACUACAUUGUUGAACAGACCUGAACAGCAUUCAACAACAGGAGCUGAGACAGGCGUAGAAUUCUGUCACAUCAUACUACUCAGGACCGUCGCUGAGCACAUUUUUCACCUGCAGAAACUCAUCUGUGCGGUCACCUCCUAUGAUGGUAAAUCCAAAUCCUUGGGAGCUCUUCUUCAGCGCUGUGUGGUAAAUCUCCCCUUUCAGCUGGCUGGGGUCUGCGGUGAAGCCAGAUGCACCACCUUUACCUGUGCAGAACAUGCUUCUGCCGUUAUGACACCGUGGAAAAUUGUUAUAAACCCAGUGGAAGUAAAGAGGGGGGCGCAUUGUGCAUUGUUACCUUGAGAAGGUGCUGCUGCGGCUUGCUGGAUCGCUGCAGUCUCCUGGCUCAGCUUCUUCUUUGCCUCCAGGACAGGGUUCUCAAACUGGGUUUUCUGAUUGAUGUGGCUGUAACAUAAAGAGGUUCAGGUUUGUGAGAAGAGACUUGGAAUCCAAACACGCACACCCAUAGACAUGCUAAUCUCUCACUUAUUGAGCUUACUGCAUCAUUUUUCUGCAGUUAAUUAUGUAUGCACCAUCCUUUUAGAGGAAGUAUAAUUUUCUGAUAGAGGGAUGCUAUAGUGGUGCCAGUAAACAAAUUCACAAGCACAGCACACAUACAGUAAAUUCUGACUUGCCUCCUCUUUAUGUGGGGGAAGUACCAUGGCUUUUAGCCAUUUAAUAUUAUAGGAAAUGAACCCCUGACUGCCAGAAACAUCCUGUUCCCCUACAACAAGGUAAACAGCCUGUUGUCCCCUGGCAUACAAACAAGAGCCAUUGCUUCAUAGUGAGCUCAUUUCAAGCUAAACACUAGCAGGUACAAGCUCCAUCUAUAUGCCAUUGACUCUCCCUGUCCAAACAGUGCAGGUUUCUCUCUCAUGUCACUUCUAGGAGCGUUUAUAUGCUUUCUGAGCAAUAAAACAAUGCGAGAAUUCCCAUUUUCUUUUCAACACGACAGAUUGCUACCUCGUCUUCCAACCCCCACUCCGCUUCUUCCAUGCAUUCUAGUUCAAAAUCUCCCCAUUUCUCUCUACUGCUGUUACAAUGGCUGUGUUUCACAGAUUUCCUGCUGGGGUGUUGAUGACAAAUACACAUUUAGCACACAGACAAAUAUACAAACAAUGUGCAAUGACAAAUACACAGACUCUAUAAGCACACACAAACACUGACAGAAUGCGAUGAGAGAAAAAUCUGUUUUGUGUUCAUAUACAGGUCACUGCAAUGUUACCCGCAGAGUUUCAUUUUGCCACCCACCGAUAAACAAUGUGAAAAUCCUGAUCAAAAUCUUCAAGUGUUCUCCAGGUAAGCCAUUGACCAGUGGUGGCCGCUCAUCAUCGUCCUCCUCCUCAGGUACAGCGCUGUCCUUCCUGUCCAUCUUACUGACUGAGGUUGUGCGUUUCCUGGGGACCUCGCCACCAAAGUCCUCAUCAAACAACACCUGAUCCACCAGGUCAGGCUGCACCAGUAUGUCUUUUGCUCUGCCUCCCUCCCCACCAGCAGAUGGCUACCCCUCCCUGAGCCUGGUUCUGCUGGAGGUUUCUUCCUUCUAAAAGGGAGUUUUUCCUUCCCACUGUUGCAGAGCGCUUGCUUAUAGUGGAUCGUCUUGUUUGAUUGCUGGGGUUUUCUCUGUAUUAUUGCAUUGUUUUUACCAUGCAAUAUAAAGUGCAUUGAAGGGUUUUGUUGUGCAUACAGAUGGUGCAAAAUGCAGCUGCUCGCAUUUUAACAAGAACUGGGAAAUUUGAGCACAUUACCCCUGUAGUGAGAUCUCUUCAUUGGCUACCUUUUCAGGUUCAAGCUCAUUUUAAGGUCCCGCUGCUCACCUAUAAGGCUUUAAAUGGAUUGGCACCUUCAUACCUCUCCGACCUUUUACACUUUUAUGUUCAAUCCUGUGCUCUAUCUCAGGACUCUGCCCUUCUAAAGGUUCCUAGAGCCAGAAAAAAGACAAUUGGAGAGCGUGCUUUUUCUUUUCGUGCCCCAUUUUUGUGGAACAACCUCCCUCAAGAUAUUAGGCAGGCAUGCUCUGUGGAGGCUUUUAAAACUAAGUUGAAGACACAUUUGUUCACCCUAUCCUACAUGUCUUAAUUCUAUGCCUUCUAGUUUUUAAAUUCUUACUGUUUUUAACUAUUGUGUUUUUACUUGUAUUGCUAUGUAUCGCUUUUAUUUAUUUAUCUUUUUAGUUUCAAAUAGCUGUACAGCACUGUGUUUGAAAGCGCUUUAUAAAUAAAGUUAUUAUUAUUAUCA